rnacentral:rRNA from 1 species
UUUUUUUUUUUUUUUUCCCCCCCCCCCCCCCCCCCCCCCCUUUAAGGUUUUGGGACCUUAUCAGAUUUAAAAGCGUCGGCAGGCCUAACACAUGCAAGUCGAGCGGCAGCGACAACAUUGACCCUUCGGAGGAUGUGUUGGGCGUCGAGCGGCGGACGGGUGAGUAAUGCCUGGGAUCAUGCCUUAGUGUGGGGGAUAACCAUUGGAAACGAUGGCUAAUACCGCAUAAUCUCUACGGAGCAAAGAGGGGGACCUUCGGGCCUCUCGCGAUAAGAUUGGCCCAGGUGGGAUUAGCUAGUAGGUGGGGUAACGGCUCACCUAGGCGACGAUCCCUAGCUGGUCUGAGAGGAUGAUCAGCCACACUGGAACUGAGACACGGUCCAGACUCCUACGGGAGGCAGCAGUGGGGAAUAUUGCACAAUGGGGGAAACCCUGAUGCAGCCAUGCCGCGUGUGUGAAGAAGGCCUUCGGGUUGUAAAGCACUUUCAGCAGUGAGGAAGGCCGUAUCGUUAAUACCGGUAUGGUUUGACGUUAGCUGCAGAAGAAGCACCGGCUAACUCCGUGCCAGCAGCCGCGGUAAUACGGAGGGUGCGAGCGUUAAUCGGAAUUACUGGGCGUAAAGCGCAUGCAGGCGGUUUGUUAAGCCAGAUGUGAAAGCCCGGGGCUCAACCUGGGAAUCGCAUUUGGAACUGGCAGGCUAGAGUAUUGUAGAGGGGGGUAGAAUUUCAGGUGUAGCGGUGAAAUGCGUAGAGAUCUGAAGGAAUACCGGUGGCGAAGGCGGCCCCCUGGACAAAGACUGACGCUCAGAUGCGAAAGCGUGGGGAGCAAACCAGGAUUAGAUACCCCUGGUAGUCCCACGCCGUACAGACGAUGUCUACUUGGAGGUUGGUGUCUUGAGCACUGGCUUUCGGAGCUAACGCGUUAAGUAGACCGCCUGGGGAGGUUCGGUCGCAUGGGUUAAAACUCAAAUGAAUUGACGGGGGCCCGCACAAGCGGUGGAGCAUGUGGUUUAAUUCGAUGCAACGCGAAGAACCUUACCUACUCUUGACAUCCACAGAAUCUUGCAGAGAUGCAUUGGUGCCUUCGGGAACUCUGAGACAGGUGCUGCAUGGCUGUCGUCAGCUCGUGUUGUGAAAUGUUGGGUUAAGUCCCGCAACGAGCGCAACCCUUAUCCUUGUUUGCCAGCACUUCGGGUGGGAACUCCUGGGAAACUGGCGGUGAUAAACCGGAAGAAGGUGGGGACUACCUCCAGUCAUCAUGGCCCUUACGAGUAUGGCUACACACGUGCUACAAUGGCAUAUACCGAGGGGAUCAAGACCGCGAGGUGGAACGAAUCCCACAAAGUAUGUCGUAAUCCGGAAUGGAGUCUGCAACUCCACUCCCUGAAAUCCGAAUCCCUAGUAAUCCUGGAUCAAAAUGGCACGGUGAAUACCUUCCCGGGCCUUGGACACCCCGCCCGUCACACCAUGGGAAUGGGCUGCACCAGAAGUAAAUAGCUUAACCUUCCGGAGGGCGUUUACCACGGUGUGGUUCAUGACUGGGGUGAAAUCCUAAAAGGGGGUACCCAAAAAAAAAAUUAAU